rnacentral:rRNA from 1 species
UGUUUCGGCUAGGGGGUCAUCCCGACUUACCAACCCGAUGCAAACUGCGAAUACCGAAGAAUGUUAUCACGGGAGACACACGGCGGGUGCUAACGUCCGUCGUGAAGAGGGAAACAACCCAGACCGCCAGCUAAGGUCCCAAAGUCAUGGUUAAGUGGGAAACGAUGUGGGAAGGCACAGACAGCCAGGAUGUUGGCUUAGAAGCAGCCAUCAUUUAAAGAAAGCGUAAUAGCUCACUGGUCGAGUCGGCCUGCGCGGAAGAUGUAACGGGGCUAAACCAUGCACCGAAGCUGCGGCAGCGACACUAUGUGUUGUUGGGUAGGGGAGCGUUCUGUAAGCCGUUGAAGGUGUAUCGUGAGGUAUGCUGGAGGUAUCAGAAGUGCGAAUGCUGACAUAAGUAACGAUAAUGCGGGUGAAAAACCCGCACGCCGGAAGACCAAGGGUUCCUGUCCAACGUUAAUCGGGGCAGGGUGAGUCGACCCCUAAGGCGAGGCCGAAAGGCGUAGUCGAUGGGAAACAGGUU